ensembl:snRNA U6 U6 spliceosomal RNA
GCUCCCUUUGGCAGCACAUGUACUAAAUUGGAGCAAUACAGAGAAGAUGAGCAUGGUUCUUGUGCAAGGAAGACACAUAAAAUAAUGAAUAAUGGUUUAAUUCA